CUCAGGCUUGUGCUCAUCAACUAAGAAGAUCAAUUAAGCUGGAAUGCACAAUGGGAGACCAUUCAAAUUAAAGCAAAAAUCAAAAAUUCCGUUUCAUCUGUGGUUGGAUUAAAAAAGGAGAUAAACUAACAGUUGAAGAGCUUCAAGAAACUUGUCAUGCUCUUGCUCAGUCCAACUCUCUCUAGACUUUGUAAUUGUAUAUGGCUUCCUUGUCUUCUUGUUAUGAUCAUCGGGUACCACUAAACCCGUAUUCCCAUG